UUUUUUUUUUGCUACUGCUUUGCCCUUGUGGCUCUUAAGUUCGGGUAGAUUAGCCAAACGGUGGGUGGUUUUUUUUUUUUUUUCCUUCAUGCCAGAACUUCUUUUCUAUACCUAAUAGUGUGUGUGAUUUUACCCUGCAUUGAGAUGGGACUUAUGUUGACAAUCUCAUGUCAACUUUCUUAAAAUGAUAGUAAUGUCAGAGGUGCGAUUUGGUUCAAGCUUUGGGUGAAUCUAUACAGAGUUAUUAAUUUUCAUUCAAAUUUUGCUUUAACCCUUCAAUUUGAAGCCAAUGUUGGCCACCACUAAAGUCGGCAAUGGCUGAUAAAAUUAUGUCAGAAUAUUAUGUGUAUGUUGAGCAGAGCUUUAAUGUUAAAAAUUUUACUUUGGGAUUACAGAGUAGUAGGUUGAGUAAAUAG
rnacentral:lncRNA from 1 species